rnacentral:rRNA from 1 species
CACGGGGGGAGCAAGCGUUGUUCGGAAUCACUGGGCGUAAAGGGCGUGUAGGCGGUCAAGUAAGUGGAAUGUGAAAUCCCCCGGCUUACCCGGGGACCGGCAUCCCAUACUGCUUGGCUUGAGUACGGGAGAGGAUGUGGGAAUUCCUGGUGUAGCGGUGAAAUGCGUCGAUAUCAGGAGGAACACCGGUGGCGAAGGCGCACAUCUGGCCCGAUACUGACGCUGAAGCGCGAAAGCUAGGGGAGCAAACGGG